rnacentral:lncRNA from 1 species
UCGUUCAACUGCCUGCAACUUCCAACUGACGAACAUCCACAGCUCCGCGGCCCAGUGACAAACACCAUCUAACAGAUAAGCCUUCUGAAAAGUCAAAGCCAAUACUGCUUCCAUUGAAAAUUUAAUGCCAGCUCCAUCUUUGCCCAUCAUUCUUCCGACUGUUCCAUGUUUCCCAAGAGGCCCUUGAAGCUAAAGCACUGCUCUAUAACAGAGCCUCUCAAGCUUCCAGCUCCAGUUGCACUGGACACCCUCACAGCCCUUCUGCAGAGCUGGGAAUGGCCAAAUCCUGCAGGCCCACUCAUGUCCCUGCAAGAAUCCUGAUGUUGGGAGAGAAAGCAUGCAUGUUCCCUCCUUUGCUGCUCCCCAAACGAAAGGCCACCUGCAGCCUUAUAUUUGCAAGAAACUCAUGCUGAGCAUCUGAGCCUAGGAAGACACAGAGUCCUGUCCUCCAACAGCCAGCUCUCAGGCCUUCUCGAACCUCUCCCUUCCCUGCCAGAUGUGACCUUGUACUCUGGAUGCCUGUGGUUUGGCUUUCUCCUCCUCACAAACAUGGAUGCUGUCCUUCUAGCAGAGGGAUUGAUGUGUUUAUGCAUGUAUCAUACCUUCCCCUCUGAGGAUGGGGGCAUGCCUUGCCCAAAGCACCCAGCCAGGGCUGAGCACAGGGACUCAACUAGGAGGAUUUUUGCUGACUGAUAAGUCCCCACUGGACAGGUCUGAGGGUUCUCCCCAAACCAUGCACUCUGGCAGUGGGCUAGUCUGACCACCUCCCCCGCCGUGUGUGUGAGACCCGCUGGUGGGCACUGUACACAGCAUGGACGUGGAAGACAAGCCUGGAAGUGAUGACUCUGCUGGAGUGAGCAGCACCACAACACAGAGCAGAUCGCUGGAGGGAAAGAUCACCUGGGGCGGCACUCCAGGGUGGAGUCAGGAGGACAUGGAGUUUUGGAGGCACACAGACAGCCCCGGAAGGCAAAAGUGUUCAUCAAGCAACCUCUGACUCAAGGAUAUCCCUGGACCACACCCCUGGGAGUGAGUGCACCAGGGAGUCACAUUAAUCCCAUAAACCCUGUUGUUGUCCUGUGACUGGCACCAUUCAUGCAUGGCAGUUUUAUACAUUAAAAAUGUCUAUGUUUUGGAGCCAAGUGAA